rnacentral:rRNA from 1 species
GACGAACGCUGGCGGCGUGCCUAAUACAUGCAAGUAGAACGCUGAAUUCAGGAGCUUACUCUUCUUGGAUGAUUUGCCAACGGGUGAGUCACGCGUAGUUGACCUUCCUUGUAGCAGGGGGUAAUAAUUCCAAACGAUAUCUAAUACCCCAUAACUAUGCAUCACACAUUUCAUUUGUUUGAAAUGUGCAAUUUCUCCACUAAAAGAUCGACCUACGUUGUAUUAGCUAGUAGGUGAGGUACGUGCUCACCUAGGGGACGAUACAUAGCCGACCUGCGAGGGUGAUAGGCAACACUGGGACUGAGACACGGCCCAGAAUCCUAGGGGAGGCACAAGUAGGAGAUCUCCGGGAAUGGGGGCAAUCCUGACCGAUCAACGCCGCGUGAGUGAAGAAGGUAUUCGGAUCGUAAAGGUCUGUUGUAAGUUAAGAACGGGUGGGAGAGUGGAAAGUUCAGACUGUGACGGUAGCUGACCAGAAAGGGACGGCUAACUACGUG